rnacentral:rRNA from 1 species
GACGAACCGUGCAAACGUUGUUCGGAAUCACUGGGCUUAAAGGGCGCGUAGGCGGGCAGUCAAGUCAGGGGUGAAAUCUUUCGGCUCAACCGGAAAAGUGCCUUUGAAACUGACUGUCUCGAGGGAGGUAGGGGCGUGCGGAACUUCCGGUGGAGCGGUGAAAUGGCGUAGAUAUCGGAAGGAACGCCGGUGGCGAAAGCGGCGCGCUGGACCUCUUCUGGACGCUGAGGAGCGAAAGCCAGGGAGCAAACGGG